GGAGCUGAGUUCACCAUGGCCUGGACUGCUCUUCUUCUCCCCCUCCUUGCUCACUGCACAGGUUCUUGGGCCCAGUCUGUGCUGACUCAACCAUCAUCAGUGUCUGGGACUCUGGGCCAAAGCAUCACAAUUUCCUGCAUUGGAAACAGCAACAAUAUUGGGAAAAAAUAUGUGCAAUGGUAUCAACAACCCUCAGGAACAGCCCCCAAAUUGAUCAUCUACAAAAAUAGCAAUCGACCCUCAGGGAUUCCAGAGAGAUUCUCUGGCUCCAAGUCUGGCACCACAGGCACCCUGACCAUCACUGGGCUCCAGCUUGAAGAUGAGGCUGAUUAUUACUGUCUGACCUACGAUAGCAGUUUCAGUGCUUACACAGUGCUCUAG